GGGGCGUGGCGAAAUUGGUAGACGCACUGGAUUUAGGUUCCAGCGCCGCAAGGUGUAAGAGUUCGAGUCUCUUCGCCCC
rnacentral:tRNA from 2 species